rnacentral:rRNA from 1 species
UGGGGAAUAUUGCACAAUGGGGGAAACCCUGAUGCAGCGACGCCGCGUGAGCGAAGAAGGUUUUCGAAUCGUAAAGCUCUGUCCUAUGAGAAGAUAAUGACGGUAUCAUAGGAGGAAGCCCCGGCUAAAUACGUGCCAGCAGCCGCGGUAAUACGUAUGGGGCGAGCGUUGUCCGGAAUUAUUGGGCGUAAAGGGUACGUAGGCGGUCUAUUAAGUCAGGUGUAAAAGCGUGAGGCUUAACCUCAUUAAGCACUUGAAACUGAUAGGCUUGAGUGAAGGAGAGGAAAGUGGAAUUCCUAGUGUAGCGGUGAAAUGCGUAGAUAUUAGGAGGAAUACCGGUGGCGAAGGCGACUUUCUGGGCUUUUACUGACGCUGAGGUACGAAAGCGUGGGGAGCAAACAGG